UGACGUCGACCGAAGCUGCUUGCAGUGGACGUUGAUUGACGUGAGUGGCGGACGGGUGAGUAACACGUGGGUAACCUACCCUUAAGUGGGGGAUAACAUUUGGAAACAGAUGCUAAUACCGCAUAACCAUUCAGACCACAUGGUCUGAAUGUAAAAGACGGCCUUUGGCUGUCACUUUUGGACGGACCCGCGGCGUAUUAGUUAGUUGGUAAGGUAACGGCUUACCAAGACAAUGAUACGUAGCCGACCUGAGAGGGUAAUCGGCCACAUUGGGACUGAGACACGGCCCAAACUCCUACGGGAGGCAGCAGUAGGGAAUCUUCCACAAUGGACGAAAGUCUGAUGGAGCAACGCCGCGUGAGUGAAGAAGGUUUUAGGAUCGUAAAACUCUGUUGUUGGAGAAGAACAGGGACUAGAGUAACUGUUAGUCCUUUGACGGUAUCCAACCAGAAAGCCACGGCUAACUACGUGCCAGCAGCCGCGGUAAUACGUAGGUGGCAAGCGUUGUCCGGAUUUAUUGGGCGUAAAGCGAGCGCAGGCGGUUUUUUAAGUCUGAUGUGAAAGCCUUCGGCUUAACCGAAGAAGUGCAUUAGAAACUGGGAAACUUGAGUGCAGAAGAGGACAGUGGAACUCCAUGUGUAGCGGUGAAAUGCGUAGAUAUAUGGAAGAACACCAGUGGCGAAGGCGGCUGUCUGGUCUGUAACUGACGCUGANGCUCGAAAGUAUGGGGAGCGAACAGGAUUAGAUACCCUGGUAGUCCAUACCGUAAACGAUGAAUGCUAAGUGUUGGAGGGUUUCCGCCCUUCAGUGCUGCAGCUAACGCAUUAAGCAUUCCGCCUGGGGAGUACGACCGCAAGGUUGAAACUCAAAGGAAUUGACGG
rnacentral:rRNA from 2 species